CUCAAUUUAAUUAUCUGGGACAUGAAAGAGAUGGACAGGAAGAUUUCCAAUGUCCUUUUAAAUUCACACCUCUGAAGGCUCUAAGAAAGCCUGUCUUCAUGAUCCUAAUCCAAGAUCUUUGAGAUGCGGUUGUCUUCAAGCCAGUGGUGCAUGCCCUGCCCUAGCAGAGAAGUCUGGGAGAAGGAGGUGUCCGCAGAGCCCUCCCGCUAGGGGAAGUGGGGAGGAGAGGGCUGAGAGAAGGCCCAAGUAUAUUUCUCUGUACACUUCUAAAAGCCCUUAGAUCAGGCUGCUCAGGGCCUGAUAAUUUUUCCAUUAAGAGGAAAUAAUUUUCUGGUCUGUUUUGGUUGUAUUUAUCUGCAGUUGACAGCAUCAGCCGCCGCAGCCGUGACAUGCCGCCUGUCUCCCAGACCAGCAUGUACUUGUGGGGACAGAAAGGGGCAGAGGUCUCAGCGUCUCCCAGCCUGGAAGAAGGGGAAAGACAGCUACAACAUGACCCUGGUAUCCAUCUCAUGUGACCCAGCUGUGACCUCAGAACAGAUGGGGCCGGGCACCUCCCGUGGCAACCCCGCGUGGCCCCGAGUUCAACUGGGAGGUGACUGCAGCCCACGGACCAGAUCGGACUUCCAGAGGUGACACUGGGAUGAGGAGAGGGGAAGGGUCCUCUGGGAAUUGUGGCAAAGGUCAGCUACCUCUUGUGUUAGGAAUACACCUGCCUUGGGUGAAGUUCUGAGUGGACCUCAGCCUGGGACAGGGUGACACUGGCUCCAUCCCAUUCCUCUGGAUUCUGCCCCCUUUGGAGCUGGGGUAUAAGAUCCUGGCACACAUGACUUCAGGCGAGGCUGGGGGAGGAGGAAAUCACAGGUUGAGUCCAGGUUGUGUGUCCAGAGAACUUUACUGAUCUCGCAGUGUUUUCAUAGCACGUUCUCAUCACUCUAAGUAAGCAUAGGGUACAGGCAGAUCAGUUUAUCCCAUUGCACGGUAGAGGAAAGUGAGGUGCUAAGCCAGUCUGUAACUCACCCAGUUAUGCAGCUUGUGACUGACAAAGUUGGACUUGAACCUAGGUCCUCCUGGCUCCGGAGCCAAGGAUCUUCUCCCUCUUCAGGGCAUUUGAAACUGGAUGGACUAUUAUCACAGCGUCAUUAAAUGCAUUCAUUUUCCAGAAGGGGCAUCUCAAGACCAGAGAGAAAAACUGACUUCCACAGGGCUGUAUGGUCAAACAGGUGGUAGAUUACAGUCAAGAGCCUGGGUCUCCUGAUCCCUGAGCCAGGAGAAGUGCCAUGCUGGCAAAGUCCCAGGGAAGGAAGACCAGGUAUCCUACAGCUGUGUUUCCCUGGGAAGGGACUGGUUGGUGGGGGCCAGGUGGGAUGUCUUGCCCCUGGGCUUUGCUGGGGCUAUGGUAUCUGAUUGUCUUUUAGAUCAGUCCUGAUGCAGCCUUAGAGUGACUGACAGCUGAGAGGAAUGGCAAUUGGCCCCCAGCUAACAGUGUAUUGGGAAGGGUUGUUUCUGACUCCUCGGACCCAUUUCUUCCUUUUUCUCCUCCUUGUAGAAUCUCAUACCUCUUUCUGCUCUGCCUCUCCAAGCUGGUCACCCAGUGCCCUUGGCCUGUCCCCAGAUGCUUAGGACCCCCUAACACCCUGGCCCGUGUCUUAUCUCCUGAGGAGAUCCAGACACUGUGGAUGUCCCCACCCUCAACCCUCACUGUUCACCCACAGAUUUUCUCUGUCGUGAUUCAUUUCCUUAGGGCUCACACUGUAAGAAGAUCCCGCUAAUCUGACAGGCUUAGGGAAGGUGCACUGCCCAGGUUUCAAUCCGGGUUCCACUGCGUAUGAGCCCUGUAUCUCAAGCAAGUUAAUUAACCUCUCUUAGCUUCAGUUUCCUUAUCUGAGAAGUGAGGAUAAUAAUACUUACCUCAUAGGGUUAUUGGUAGCUUUAAAUGAAUUUAUGUAAAGAAUUUAGCACAAUGCCUGAAGCAUAAUAAACUUUCAAUAAAUGUUAGUUAUUUUUAGUUU
rnacentral:lncRNA from 13 species